UAGCAUUUCUAAAGUCUUUCAGAAAGACGACGUUAUGAUUUCGUAGGCACAGGGAGGCAAAGAAAAAACUGUGAAAGCCCCAACAAAUGUUUUAUUCAUAGAAAGUAGCCAGCUGGGAUAUUUGAAUGCAGGGCAGCUGCGGUACAAGGCCGAUCCACGUAUCACUUGGCAAGCGAACAUCACCCUUCAGUUUAACAUCAUUCUGCCUUAAAGACUUCACACAAUGAUUCCACCUCCUGGACGAUGACUGUAGCUUACAUCCGUACACGAGACUUUAACUCUAAAAGACUAUAUAUAUAUGGGAAGAAACCGACAGUGAGCACAUAUUCUGGUAACACAGCUAUUGUUUACAGAGCUGUACAAAGAGCGAGGAGGGUAAACACAACUAUCUGGGCCAAGUUCACAGGAGUUAACAGGUGUAAAGUAAAGAGAAGUUCUCGGGUCUGUUCAUGCAGGUGAACCAACGCUCUGCACCCUGAGAACUUUCAGCCUGAGGUUAUAUUUCAGGACUUUUUUGUCUCGGAUGUAUUGAUGGGAUUAUAACACAACCACAAAG